GACGAACCUUGCUAACGUUAUUCGGAAUUACUGGGCUUAAAGGGUGUGUAGGUGGCGCCGUAAGUCGGGUGUGAAAUCUCGGGGCUUAACUCCGAAACUGCAUUCGAUACUGCGGUGCUUGAGGACUGGAGAGGAGACUGGAAUUCAUGGUGUAGCAGUGAAAUGCGUAGAGAUCAUGAGGAAGACCAGUGGCGAAGGCGGGUCUCUGGACAGUUCCUGACACUGAGACACGAAGGCCAGGGGAGCAAACGGG
rnacentral:rRNA from 1 species